CCCAGAAGCGGGGGAUAACACCUGGAAACAGAUGCUAAUACCGCAUAACAACUUGGACCGCAUGGUCCGAGCUUGAAAGAUGGCUUCGGCUAUCACUUUUGGAUGGUCCCGCGGCGUAUUAGCUAGAUGGUGGGGUAACGGCUCACCAUGGCAAUGAUACGUAGCCGACCUGAGAGGGUAAUCGGCCACAUUGGGACUGAGACACGGCCCAAACUCCUACGGGAGGCAGCAGUAGGGAAUCUUCCACAAUGGACGAAAGUCUGAUGGAGCAACGCCGCGUGAGUGAAGAAGGGUUUCGGCUCGUAAAACUCUGUUGUUAAAGAAGAACAUAUCUGAGAGUAACUGUUCAGGUAUUGACGGUAUUUAACCAGAAAGCCACGGCUAACUACGUGCCAGCAGCCGCGGUAAUACGUAGGUGGCAAGCGUUGUCCGGAUUUAUUGGGCGUAAAGCGAGCGCAGGCGGUUUUUUAAGUC
rnacentral:rRNA from 1 species